CAGGAGAUAAUUUAAGCUCUAGAAUAAUAGCUUUGGGAGUUAUUAGUAUAGGUGAAACUCCUAUUCUCCUGAA
rnacentral:tRNA from 1 species